CCGGUGGAUUCGCCGCGAGAGGCGUCCUAUAUCUGUUGGGCCGGCUUGCCGGCUAUGGCGAUAAACGGUGCGCGGAAUAAGCGUUGUGGACCCGGGGGCAGUGCCCGGCGCCUCCACCAAGGGGGGCGAAACAGGCUCGACACGCGUGGUAAAGGCCCAUUUUUCGCUCGGCAUGGUUCCGCCGUUAUCGGGCCAUUCUACAGGUGCCAACGACAACGAGGCACUCGCUCUCGCCGCGUAAGCGGUGUUAGCGCGGUUCGGGGGGCACCGGGCAACAGAAGCCCCCCACU
rnacentral:tmRNA from 1 species